AUGCAAUAUAUAUGCCCCAGCCUUGAAACAAGAGCUGCCUGGCAGAGGCAGUGCAGUACAUUGGAAGCAUUGUUUUAUUGCUGCCUCGCUGCUGGGAUCGCUGAGCGCUCCCAAAAACCGCCUGGCGCUGCUGCUGUUCUGCUCCAGCGGGACGCAGGAUGCUGCGGGGGGUGGCCGCAUGCUGCCUCUGCUCACUGCGGAGCAGCAGCUCGAGCAAAUGCUAAAGGACUGGAAAUAGCAGUUAAUAAAGGAAUGGAAACAUCAGGUGCUGUACUGAAAUCAUUGAAGACAAAGCAAUUGGAAGCAAAACACUCUCCUGCCCUGCUGUGCUGCAGUUAUCGGAUCCUCACCAACGGUUGUUUUAAGCAUAGAUCACCUCUACGAACCCACUCCACACCUGUCUGAGUGGACACUAAACAGCAAAAUGGAGGGAGAGGCAGGGAGGAGCAGGACUAUAGCAUCUUCACCCCAAAUUCCUAUGAACUGCCAUGGGACUACACCCCUUUGCCUUGGUGAUGAAGCUGAGGACAGAGCACUGUGUGAAUACACGUGGAUUAUUUUGCAGAAACUGUUUGCCAUCUAGUGGUUUGUCAGCCUCCCGCAAAUAGAAAUUUAAAAAAUAGUAAAGAACUGGAGGUCAUAAUGGUGAAAAAAAAUACAUAUUUCCCAAUAUGCUUGAACCUAUAAAAACACAUAGGAAAGAUGAAGCUCCUAUUGCAAACUGUUUGCCGUUAGAAGGAACAUGUUGUGGAGACAAGCCAGGAAAACUUGCACACAAGCAAUGUGAGAUUCCAGGAGAUGUCAG
rnacentral:lncRNA from 1 species